rnacentral:rRNA from 1 species
UACGUAGGGUGCAAGCGUUGUCCGGAAUUAUUGGGCGUAAAGGGCUCGUAGGCGGUCUGUCACGUCGGGAGUGAAAACUUGGGGCUUAACCCCGAGCCUGCGGUCGAUACGGGCAGACUUGAGUUCGGCAGGGGAGACUGGAAUUCCUGGUGUAGCGGUGAAAUGCGUAGAUAUCGUAAGGAAGACCAGUGGCGAAGGCGGGUCUCUGGACAGUUCCUGACGCUGAGGCACGAAGGCCAGGGGAGCAAACGGG